rnacentral:tRNA from 1 species
GCUCUGGUAGCACAGUGGUGGUGCGUCCGGCUGUUAACCGGAAGGUCGAAGGUUCAAAACCUUCCCAGGGCG